rnacentral:rRNA from 1 species
UACCAGCACCCCGAGUGGUCGGGACGUUUAUUGGGCCUAAAGCAUCCGUAGCCGGUUCUACAAGUCUUCCGUUAAAUCCAACUGCUUAACAGGUGGGCUGCGGAAGAUACUAUAGAGCUAGGAGGCGGGAGAGGCAAGCGGUACUCGAUGGGUAGGGGUAAAAUCCGUUGAUCCAUUGAAGACCACCAGUGGCGAAGGCGGCUUGCCAGAACGCGCUCGACGGUGAGGGAUGAAGGCUGGGGGAGCAAACCGG